rnacentral:piRNA from 1 species
UGGUGAAUUUGAAUCAAAAAUAAAGCCU